UACGAAGGGGGCUAGCGUUGCUCGGAAUCACUGGGCGUAAAGCGCACGUAGGCGGCUUCUUAAGUCAGGGGUGAAAUCCUGGAGCUCAACUCCAGAACUGCCUUUGAUACUGAGGAGCUUGAGUCCGGAAGAGGAGAGUGGAAUUCCUGGUGUAGCGGUGAAAUGCGCAGAUAUCAGGAAGAACACCCGUGGCUAAGGCGGCUCUCUAGUACGGUACUGACGCUGAGACGCGAAAGCGUGGGGAGCGAACAGG
rnacentral:rRNA from 1 species